GCAGAGGAACAUGAUCGGGAGGGGCGGCUUCGGCGUCGUCUACCGGGGGACCCUCUCCGACGGGAGCGCCGUGGCGGUGAAGAGGAUAAUCGAAUCGGACAUCCAGGGGGACGAGGAGUUCCGCAACGAGGUGGACAUCAUCAGCAACCUGCGGCACAAGAACCUCGUGCCGCUCAGAGGCUGCUGCAUCAGCAGCGACAGCGACGACGAGGAAGCCGGCGAGGGGAAGCAGAGGUACCUGGUCUACGAGUUCAUGCCCAACGGCAGCCUCGACGACCACAUCUUCGGCGGCUCCAGGGAGAGCCCCCGCAGCAGGACGCCGCUGACUUGGCCCCAGAGGAAGAACAUAAUCAUCGACGUGGCCAAGGGGCUCGCCUACCUCCACUAC
rnacentral:lncRNA from 1 species